GCCCGGGUGGCUCAGUCGGUUGGGCAUCUGACUUCAGCUCAGAUCCUGAUCUGGUGGUUUGUGAGUUGGAGCCCUGCCUCGGGUU
rfam:Felis catus isolate Cinnamon breed Abyssinian chromosome B1, whole genome shotgun sequence.